rnacentral:lncRNA from 1 species
UGUGCUUUGAGUUUGCAAAUCAGUCUGCCUGUCUAGAGCCAUAUCAAAUGUGUUCAAGCAGUUCCGCUCUUUCAUCCCUGUCAGCCGCGCUGACUACAUGAGUAAGCUCAGGAGUAGGGCAGGACAGGCAAACGUGACCUUCUGUGAAUCAGCUGCAGACGGGCUCCAUCUAAGGGGACCAGAGACGCCCUCCGGCAAAGCUCACCGUGGUAAUUUAAGACUUUACCAUCUGCAGCACCCCUUUUUUAGAAGUUGCUAUUUCAUGGCGGAAGAGGAGAAAGAAAGAAGUACUCGUUCCCACCUUAACUCACUUGUUUCACACUCCUUCUGCAAGCCAGGGCACUGGUCACGUGGCACCGGGCUCCUUCUUCCACCUCUGCCAUAGGAUGAGCUCUGCCAUUUUCCUCCACUUCUCUGUGUUACUCAAGAAACCUUCACAUGUGGUCUCUGCUGAGAAAAAGGUCUAAGGAUUUGAAGGGCUUCAACUGAGUCACACAACUCUGAUGGUAGCGGUGCCCAAUCUUCAGCUGUUGCAUCAGCAAAAGGAUGCAAGCUAUUUAUACCACCCCCAUUCCAUGUAUGCUGCAGCUGCUGCUGUGCCUGAGCCUCUGGGGCCUUGUAGGCUGCUCUCAGGAGGAUGCUUUCUUCUAGGAAUCAGGACACAAAAGCUGUCGCAUCAGAAGCAGAUGUUGGUAGUACGGCAGUAGAGGCUGAACCUUUCCACCAGUAUUUCCUUCCAUUCUGUUGCCAUGUGACAGAUGGCAGCAGAGGCAGCGUCUGACAUGAAAGUGGGGGUGAAGCAAAGGUGUCCCUGAAUUCCUCUGUGCAGAAAAAAAUGGCACCUAUUGACAUUCACCAAUGCUUGCUGAGCGUUGAUGGAGACCAAACAGUGGACGUGAGCACACAGUGAGGCAGUGGGUGAUGUGUUUCAGCAGUGGUGACAGCAACAUGAAAGACAAGCCAUGUUUCAGAUGGCCAUGCACAGCUGUCACACCACUGAAUGAAGAGCAUCUCAAUCACCUAACCCAUGUGAACUGGUGGAUUU